AUUUAUACUUUGCCACUUGCAGCAUGUUUUCUUUUGAAACAAUAAAGAUAUUGAUUAUCCACACUUGAAUUUUAUCAGUGGUAAUAUGUACUUUUGGUAUGCCAAGUCUGUAUUUGUUGUCAAAUCUUUAUGUGAUGAAGUGUGAUCAAGUAGUUCAGUUGUUGCAACAGUUAACAUUUUCUAAGGCUCUCUUUUCUAUAGGGUUAUUUAAUCUAGUUGUUCUUCCAUAAUUCAUCAAACUAACAAGUUAUAUGAUACACAGGAUUCAGUAACUAUUGUAGGAUAUCCACUUGGUGGAGAUACAAUCUCUGUGACAAAGGGUGUGGUAUCACGAAUUGAGGUUAGUAUGCUCAUGGAUCCUCUGAUCUGCUUGGUAUUCAGAUUGAUGCUGCAAUAAACCCUGGAAACAGUGGUGGUCCUGCCUUCAAUGAUCGUGGUGAGUGUAUUGGUGUGGCAUUCCAGGUUUUCAGAUCCGAAGACACUGAAAACAUUGGAUAUGUUAUUCCAACCACUGUGGUUUCUCAUUUUCUUGAUGAUUAUGAAAGAAAUGGGAAGUAUACUGGUAAGCUGACAUCGGAAAAAUUC